rnacentral:rRNA from 1 species
ACACAUGCAAGUCGAGGGGAAACGACAUCGAAAGCUUGCUUUUGAUGGGCGUCGACCGGCGCACGGGUGAGUAACGCGUAUCCAACCUGCCCAUCACUUGGGGAUAACCUUGCGAAAGUAAGACUAAUACCCAAUGAUAUCUCUAGAAGGCAUCUGGAAGAGAUUAAAGAUUUAUCGGUGAUGGAUGGGGAUGCGUCUGAUUAGCUUGUUGGCGGGGUAACGGCCCACCAAAGCAACGAUCAGUAGGGGUUCUGAGAGGAAGGUCCCCCACAUUGAAACUGAGACACGGUCCAAACUCCUACGGGAGGCAGCAGUGAGGAAUAUUGGUCAAUGGACGAGAGUCUGAACCAGCCAAGUAGCGUGCAGGAUGACGGCCCUAUGGGUUGUAAACUGCUUUUAUAAGGGAAUAAAGUGAGUCUCGUGAGACUUUUUGCAUGUACCUUAUGAAUAAGGACCGGCUAAUUCCGUGCCAGCAGCCGCGGUAAUACGGAAGGUCCGGGCGUUAUCCGGAUUUAUUGGGUUUAAAGGGAGCGUAGGCCGGAGAUUAAGCGUGUUGUGAAAUGUAGAUGCCCAACAUCUGCACUGCAGCGCGAACUGGUUUCCUUGAGUACGCACAAAGUGGGCGGAAUUCGUGGUGUAGCGGUGAAAUGCUUAGAUAUCACGAAGAACUCCGAUUGCGAAGGCAGCUCACUGGAGCGCAACUGACGCUGAAGCUCGAAAGUGCGGGUAUCGAACAGGAUUAGAUACCCUGGUAGUCCGCACGGUAAACGAUGGAUGCCCGCUGUUGGUCUGAAUAGGUCAGCGGCCAAGCGAAAGCAUUAAGCAUCCCACCUGGGGAGUACGCCGGCA